UACAGAGGUCUCGAGCGUUAGGCGGAAUCACUGGGCUUAAAGCGUGUGUAGGCGGAUUGGUAAGUACUUUGUGAAAUCCCACGGCUUAACCGUGGAACUGCUUGGUAUACUGCCAGUCUUGAGCCAGCUAGGGGCUACCGGAACAAAUGGUGGAGCGGUGAAAUGCGUAGAGAUCCGGAAGAACACCGGUGGCGAAGGCGGCCUGCUGGGCAGUAGCUGACGCUGAGGCGCGACAGCGUGGGGAGCAAACAGG
rnacentral:rRNA from 1 species